GACGAACUCUGUAUCACAUAAUUGUACACAAAGUUACCAAGGAAAGUGGUUCAUCACGUUGGCUGUUAUGUCUUUCACAUGCUAAAGAUUUCAGGGCUAAUUUUGGAGAGAAUCAAAAGGAGAAGAUUUUCUUCACACAAGCUCCGACUCUACCAAAGCCAAAGCUCCCCUGAAGAAUGACUCAGAC